rnacentral:rRNA from 1 species
UACGAAGGGGGCUAGCGUUGCUCGGAAUCACUGGGCGUAAAGCGCACGUAGGCGGCUUUUUAAGUCAGAGGUGAAAUCCUGGAGCUCAACUCCAGAACUGCCUUUGAUACUGGAGAGCUUGAGUCCGGGAGAGGUGAGUGGAACUGCGAGUGUAGAGGUGAAAUCGUAGAUAUUCGCAAGAACACCAGUGGCGAAGGCGGAGCUCACUGGCCCGGUACGUGGAC